rnacentral:pre_miRNA from 1 species
UAGCUAUUCGGGAUAGUCUCUCACGGUAGAGCUUGAAAAUCAAUUUGCUCACCGGAGACAUUGUUCCGCAUAGGUACGGUACAUUUCCGUC